rnacentral:sRNA from 1 species
CAGCCAUAUCUUGAUCUUGGAGCUUGUGACGGGUUAGCACCCGUUAGUAGUUAACUUACGCAACCACCUCGCGUAUCCACGCGUGCGUACGAUCCCGCUCCGCGCACGCGUAGUCCUAACGAUUCCUCCGCGCAAUCCUCACGAUUCCGCUCCGCGCACGCGUAGUCUCUAACGAUUCCUCCGCGUGUUCCCUAACGUUCUUCCGCCCCGCUCACGCUCCUAUAAGAACCCCUCGUACGACCUUUCCUUUCGAUCUCUUUUCUCUUUCUUUCCUUAAUCAAUUCGUAAACUGUAUUAGGAUAGUGCUUAAACCGUUAAUCGGUAGUACGCCCGUUACAGAGCUCUAUCUUUAUUCUGCUCUGUUCUCUUUCUUUUAUAUUGACACCAGACACAAGCUCAAGGUCCUGACAGAGGAAUUUGAUGGUGAUUUAGAUCUGAAUUUGAUUGAGUAGUAGGUAGAGGAUUUGAGAAUUCCAGGAGUUGAAGAUAGAGCUGCCAACAGAAUUCAACAUGAGAUAUAGCAGUGUCAGUAGUGUCAGUCAUGCCAGUAGUGCCAGUAGUACCAGUAGUAGCC